AACGAACGCUGGCGGCAGGCCUAACACAUGCAAGUCGAACGCCCUAGCAAUAGGGAGUGGCAGACGGGUGAGUAACACGUGGGAACCUUCCCUAUAGUACGGAAUAUACCAGGGAAACUUGGAGCAAUACCGUAUACGCCCGAGAGGGGAAAGAUUUAUCGCUAUAGGAUGGGCCCGCGUAGGAUUAGCUAGUUGGUGAGGUAAUGGCUCACCAAGGCGACGAUCCUUAGCUGGUUUGAGAGAACGACCAGCCACACUGGGACUGAGACACGGCCCAGACUCCUACGGGAGGCAGCAGUGGGGAAGUAUUGGACAAUGGGCGCAAGCCUGAUCCAGCCAUGCCGCGUGAGUGAUGAAGGCCUUAGGGUUGUAAAGCUC
rnacentral:rRNA from 1 species